CUCCAAUCGUCUUCCUCCACCUCUUUCCUUUCCUUCACCGGCGUAGGUUCCAAUCUGGAAGUAUCACAUGCGCACUUCAUCACGCGCCCAAACCCUGAUGUUUCUAUCCUCUCCAAUGCGAUCGACAUAACUGCUUCUGCCUUUCUUCGCCACCGAGAACAAAAGAACACCCAAAACAGAAAAACAAAGAGGAAGGAACAAAGGACGAAGCCUUUCUUCUUCAGAAAAACAAAAGAACGCAAAGAGAGCAAAUAAAGAAACGAAAGAGAGAAUGUAAGCAAGGGAAGAAAUGAAGUUUUUAUGCGUUUUGUAGAUUUGUUUGUUUGUUGUUGUAAAUAAUAAUAAAAAAGAAAAGAAAAAAGAAAGAUAAAUAUGAUUGAUUAUUGAAUUGUAUUGAAUAAAGCAACUGGGGACUCCCUUGUGUAGAGAGAGACAGAGAGAGAGAG
rnacentral:lncRNA from 1 species